rnacentral:rRNA from 1 species
ACGGAAGGCAGCAGUGAGGAAUAUUGGUCAAUGGGCGGAAGCCUGAACCAGCCAAGUCGCGUGAAGGAUGAAGGUAUUAUGUAUUGUAAACUUCUUUAGCAGUGGAGUAAUAAGGGGCUCGUGAGCCCUGAUGCAAGUACACUGAGAAUAAGGAUCGGCUAACUCCGUGCCAGCAGCCGCGGUAAUACGUAGGGAGCAAGCGUUAUCCGGAAUUACUGGGUGUAAAGGGAGUGUAGGCGGGACUGUAAGUCAGAUGUGAAAUAUGCCGGCUCAACUGGCAGACUGCAUUUGAAACUGCGGUUCUUGAGUGAAGUAGAGGUAAGCGGAAUUCCUAGUGUAGCGGUGAAAUGCGUAGAUAUUAGGAGGAACAUCAGUGGCGAAGGCGGCUUACUGGGCUUUAACUGACGCUGAGGCUCGAAAGCGUGGGGAGCAAACAGGAUUAGAUACCCUGGUA